rnacentral:tRNA from 2 species
CGCGGGAUGGAGCAGUCUGGUAGCUCGUCGGGCUCAUAACCCGAAGGUCGUAGGUUCAAAUCCUGCUCCCGCAAU